rnacentral:rRNA from 1 species
GACGAACGCUGGCGGCGUGCUUAACACAUGCAAGUCGAACGGAAAGGCCCUGCUUUUGUGGGGUGCUCGAGUGGCGAACGGGUGAGUAACACGUGAGUAACCUGCCCUUGACUUUGGGAUAACUUCAGGAAACUCGGGCUCAUACCGGAUAGGAGCUCCUGCUGCAUGGUGGGGGUUGGAAAGUUUCGGCGGUUGGGGAUGGACUCGCGGCUUAUCAGCUUGUUGGUGGGGUAGUGGCUUACCAAGGCUUUGACGGGUAGCCGGCCUGAGAGGGUGACCGGCCACAUUAGGACUGAGAUACGGCCCAGACUCCGCCGUGAGGCAGAGGUCGGGAAUAUUGCACAAUGGGCGGAAGCCUGAUGCAGCAACGCAGCGUGCGGGACGACGGCCUUCGGGUUGUAAACCGCUUUCGCCUGUGACGAAGAGUGAGUGACGGUAAUGGGUAACGAAGCACCGGCUAACUACGUG